GUGAGUCCAAGCACAGGAAACACCGCACACUCAGUCACUCCUGAGCUUCCAAGCCUGCUUCUGUGGGAGUGGAAAGACUGAGGCCAAGAGUAAGCUGUGGCCUUGUAGACAGUGAGUCUCCAUUCGGCCUCCAUCCCUGCCAGCACAGCAGAGGUACCAAACCCCUGUAGGUCAUGGUUGCCAGAAGUGCCUGUGACAGAAGAGACCAAAGCAAAGCAUGGCUUUUCACAUGGCAGAAGACAGCCCAGCAUCUGAACAACUCUUCCAUUCAGAUUCCCAAGGUGCUACAUAUCCACAGCCAAUGGGAAGGAGACGCUCUACGUAGUGUUUGUUCUCUCUACGCGGUAAUUUUACCAUGCCCAGAGGAGCGGAGAUGCACAGGGGAAUUACAGGGCGCUUGCCCACGGUUCCUGAUGGAACUUAGGUUUUUCUUACCCUGAGAUCUAAAUCAAGACAAGAGGACAAAGAAGCCCAGGCCCCACGGCCACAGCAUUACUGCCAACCCUCUCUGAAGUUACCAUGGCUAAAAACUGGAAUCCCUACUGGCUUCUCUCUUUAAAACACAACUUUUACUAAAUGUGGUGAGUUGCUGACUGUUAAGACAAUGGGCCUGUCCAAGAAACUUGUUUAGGAAUCAAGGGGAGAAAGACAUUGAGGGGCCCAAGAACAGAUGAAUUGCUCCCGAGAAUGGGAAACAAAUGAGCCGAGGUAUAAAUGGAUGAAAAACAAAAGGAAGAGAUUCCUGGAACAAUGUGGACUAUUGAAGGGAGAGCUGCAGGGACAGAGACCCAGGUCGUGGGACCAGCUGGGGAGUGGUGGGACAGGGGAGCUGAGCUGUCAGCUUACAGCUCAGGCUAAGGCUCUUCUCCCCAGCAACCCUGUGUUCCCGUUUUUCUUGCCGCCAUUAUCUGGUCUGCUGCAGUUUUGUGGUUGUAAAAAGGAGCAGGGAGGGAGAUACACUAGAUGGGUUUCAGAUCCACCCGCUCCCUCUCCAACACUGGCUGGGUCAGCUGUGCACAAUCUACAGCGGCCAUUCCUUUCUUUUUGAGAACUGCCUGCAGAGAAAGGCUUUUGGGUAAUUUCAGUGUAACAUACAGGCCUCUGAGUAACUCCAUCUCAUUGUUCCCUGUAGAUAAUGGGGGUGUUCAGGAGCACAAUAAUGGACCCCGGGGAAUCUCCCUUACCCCAAGUGGAAUUAAGGUAUCUCCUUCUCUCUAGAACACACAAUUACCUUGUCUUCAGGGUACAUCCACUAGGAGUUUUGUCUAGCUGAAGUCCAAUGAUGAUGAUGAUGGUGGUGGUGGUGAUGAUGAUGAUUUUGUGGAGCACGGACUCUUUUUGACUUAUGAUAGAGCUCUGCCCUGUAAAUUUAUUGUAAGCUGAAGACAUUUUGAAGUUGAAAACAUACUGAACAUAUCCAACCAGUGGAACAUCAUGGUUUAGUAACACAGGACACUAGGGUAGCAUGUAUCCCCUUGUGAUCACAUGACCAGGACCCACAUGUAUGUUGUGCCUAGCAUGAUGAAAGAAUAUCUUAUUGCCUAUCACUAGCAGCAGGGAAGCAGGGAGGUCCAAAAGCAAAAUUCAAACUAUGGGCUCUAUGGGAUGUCUAUGGCUUGCACACCAUUGUAGAGUUGAAACCUUGCAAGACCAACCACUGUGAGUCUCAGAUGGUAGAGGGCCAUCUCUGGUGACCAAGACCAUUAGUGAUAUUUGCAUGGGGAGUGGACAGUUUUUGUUCCCUACCUCUCCAGGGCCUGAGUCAGUCCAAUCUGUGAGCUUUCCUCUUAUGUGGCUGCAGUUCUGGGUUUCUCAUUCAGAAGCCAUCAUAGUUAAGUCUUAGACUCCUUGGGAAGAUAGGGCCACACCUUCCACUGAGGCUCAGCAUCGCUGCCUCCGGGAUGGAAGACACCAAGACAAGUUCUGAUCCUAGCCGAUUACCUCACAUGAAGGAAUGAGGCCCCGAGAGGAGACAAAUGGCCAGCCUAUGACCACACAGGUCAUAUCAGAGAGUCGAUUAGGGCCAAGGUCUCCCUUACAGAACCCAUGCAACUGUUUGGUAACAGAACCAAAGUCAAGGUCACUGGUUUCAACCUGGGCUCUGUAAUAAGGACAGAAACACGUGGCUCCCUCUUCAGUAGAUGCAUGUUCCCCACAUUUCUUCCUUUCUCAUAGGGACAGGACGAGGGGGUGGAGAGUCUUUGGAGCAUUAGAGGAAAAAAUUCCAAGGUCAGAGACAAUGUGUCAGAGGAUCGGACUGUGUCAUCUGGCUGUUACUGCAUCUGUAGGCAGUGGAGAUGCCUACAACGGAGAGCCUCUUUCUUUUCUCCUUCAUGGGGCUAAUGUUCUCCCAGGGGACAGAAUGAGCUUCUUCACAGGUUCCCUAUAUCAGGGCUGAGUCUCCAGCAGACGCUGCCACCAGGUGCAUUUAUUCUCACGGAUCCUCUUGGGCAUUAGCAUUCCUUCUUUUCAGAGAAAGCCACUGAGGUCCAGAGGGGCACUCACUCAAGGUCACCUCACCAGGAAGGGGCAUCGUCGACUCUAACCCACAGGUGCUCUGGCAGUCACUCUUCUGCCUCAGAUGUGAAGGGACUGCAAAGCCAGGCAAGGGUCAGGGAGCCUGAAGGACAGAGUCCUAGAGGUCCCAGAUAUGUCGUAUGGCAUCCCGAGGGCACCUGCUAUAGGACCCAGCUUCCCUUUAACCUUGGCCUGCUCCCCAGCACACCUCUCAGCUCUCCUUAGCAUCAUUCCUCAUUUUCACUUAUUUCCCCAGUUCAAACCUCAAAGUCACUCUUGGGAGAAAACAUCUUUUUGCUCUAUCCUAAUGGGUUGGGUUUAGUUCAGCAUACUUAUUAUUCUAGCUUGUCCCCGAGCAAGCGUGCCCAGGGUCUUUACAACACACGCACGCACACACUCCAAAAUGCAUGUCUGCACUUGAAAAGAAGAAAAUGUAGCAGCAGCUUUGGGAGCGAGUUUGACUAAUUUCUUCUCCACUUGAGAAGCAUCGAGAAGUUUCUUCAAAGCUAGAGAAUGAGAAACUACAGUUUUGGAAACCUGGAAAUGCAGAGAUAUGAGGACAUGAAACAGCAUGG
rnacentral:lncRNA from 1 species